ACACUUACCUGGAAUGGGAGAGACCAUGACCAAGAAGAUGGUUUUCCCAGGCGAGAUUGCCUCUUUGUUCUCUGGAUGCCCUGGUUUCUGAUUUUCCCCCAAACACAGGAAACUUGACUGCAUAAUUUUUCUUGCUUUUAUUAGUAAAUUAAAAGA
ensembl:snRNA U1 U1 spliceosomal RNA